rnacentral:rRNA from 1 species
AGCCAGACUCCUACGGGAGGCAGCAGUGGGGAAUAUUGCACAAUGGGGGAAACCCUGAUGCAGCGACGCCGCGUGAGUGAAGAAGUAUUUCGGUAUGUAAAGCUCUAUCAGCAGGGAAGAAAAUGACGGUACCUGACUAAGAAGCCCCGGCUAACUACGUGCCAGCAGCCGCGGUAAUACGUAGGGGGCAAGCGUUAUCCGGAUUUACUGGGUGUAAAGGGAGCGUAGACGGUUAUGUAAGUCUGGAGUGAAAGCCCGGGGCCCAACCCCGGGACUGCUUUGGAAACUGUGUAACUGGAGUACAGGAGGGGCAGGCGGAAUUCCUGGUGUAGCGGUGAAAUGCGUAGAUAUCAGGAGGAACACCGGCGGCGAAGGCGGCCUGCUGGACUGAAACUGACGUUGAGGCUCGAAAGCGUGGGGAGCAAACAGGAUUAGAUACCCCCGUAU